rnacentral:rRNA from 2 species
CUUGCUCCUGAUUGAUAAACAUUUGAGUGAGUGGCGGACGGGUGAGUAACACGUGGGUAACCUGCCCUAAAGUGGGGGAUAACAUUUGGAAACAGAUGCUAAUACCGCAUAAAACCUAACACCGCAUGGUGUAGGGUUGAAAGAUGGUUUCGGCUAUCACUUUAGGAUGGACCCGCGGUGCAUUAGUUAGUUGGUGAGGUAAAGGCUCACCAAGACCGUGAUGCAUAGCCGACCUGAGAGGGUAAUCGGCCACACUGGGACUGAGACACGGCCCAGACUCCUACGGGAGGCAGCAGUAGGGAAUCUUCCACAAUGGACGAAAGUCUGAUGGAGCAACGCCGCGUGAGUGAAGAAGGUUUUCGGAUCGUAAAACUCUGUUGUUGGAGAAGAAUGUAUCUGAUAGUAACUGAUCAGGUAGUGACGGUAUCCAACCAGAAAGCCACGGCUAACUACGUGCCAGCAGCCGCGGUAAUACGUAGGUGGCAAGCGUUGUCCGGAUUUAUUGGGCGUAAAGCGAGCGCAGGCGGUUUCUUAAGUCUGAUGUGAAAGCCUUCGGCUCAACCGAAGAAGUGCAUCGGAAACUGGGAAACUUGAGUGCAGAAGAGGACAGUGGAACUCCAUGUGUAGCG